AGCGAACGCUAGCGGCGGGCCUAACACAUGCAAGUCGAGCGGGGGAGCAAUCCCCCAGCGGCGGACGGGUGAGUAACACGUAGGUUAUGUGCCCUUUGGUGGGGAAUAACCGUGGGAAACCAUGGCUAAUUCCGCAUAUCGAGCGAAAUCUUGAAAGCCUUCGGGCGCCAAAAGGAGCAACCUGCGGCCCAUUAGCUUGUUGGUAGGGUAACGGCCUACCAAGGCGAUGAUGGGUAGCUGGUCUGAGAGGAUGAUCAGCCACACUGGAACUGAGACACGGUCCAGACUCCUACGGGAGGCAGCAGUGGGGAAUUUUGGACAAUGGGCGGAAGCCUGAUCCAGCCAUGCCGCGU
rnacentral:rRNA from 1 species